GGUUCUGUAGUAUAGUGGCUAUCACAUCUGCUUUACACGCUGAAGGUCCUGGGUUCAAUCCCCAGCAGUACCA
rfam:Oreochromis niloticus linkage group LG3, whole genome shotgun sequence.